rnacentral:rRNA from 1 species
UACGUAGGGUGCGAGCGUUAAUCGGAAUUACUGGGCGUAAAGCGUGCGCAGGCGGUUUUGUAAGCCAGAUGUGAAAUCCCCGGGCUUAACCUGGGAACUGCAUUUGGGACUGCAAGGCUUGAGUGCGGCAGAGGAGACUGGAAUUCCUGGUGUAGCAGUGAAAUGCGUAGAUAUCAGGAGGAAUACCGAUGGCGAAGGCAGGUCUCUGGGCUGACACUGACGCUCAUGCACGAAAGGCGUGGGGAGCAAACAGGAUAGAAACC